rnacentral:rRNA from 1 species
UACGUAGGGGGCUAGCGUUGUCCGGAAUCAUUGGGCGUAAAGCGCGUGUAGGCGGUCCGGUAAGUCCGCUGUGAAAGUCGAGGGCUCAACCCUCGAAUGCCGGUGGAUACUGUCGGGCUUGAGUACGGGAGAGGCGAGUGGAAUUCCUGGUGUAGCGGUGAAAUGCGUAGAUAUCUGGAGGAAUACCGGUGGCGAAGGCGGCAUCCUGGACCAUUACUGACGCUGAGGCGCGAAAGCUAGGGGAGCAAACGGG